AACGCACAUUGCGCCCUUUGGUAUUCCUUAGGGCAUGCCUGUUCGAGCGUCAUCUAACCCCUCAAGCAACGCUUGGUGUUGGGCGCCUGUCCCGCCUCCGCGCGCGGACUCGCCCCGAAGACAUUGGCGGCCUGUGUAUUGGCCACGAGCGCAGCAGACCCGCGGCUCGUGCCCUCUCGCGCGGGCGCUCCACGAAGCGACCACCCCCAGUUUUGACCUCGGAUCAGGUAGGGAUACCCGCUGAACUUAA
rnacentral:misc_RNA from 1 species